UACCUCUUUAUUUUCUUUGCUUUUAUUAUUUGCUUAUGAAGAAUUGUGAUUGAGAGAAGUAUUGUUGAAAUUGUGAUUAGAAUAUUGUGGAAUAUGACUUUGGACUCACCGUUUUGGAGAAAAUUUGUGACCUUGAGAAUUGAGAUUAUCAAAUUGUAUUGUGUUAAGUGAAGAUAUUGAAUUCUUUGUGAUGAAUUGAGAAACUGAAUAUAAUAUGUAAGUUGAAGAACAGUAAUUGAAUAUAUAUAAACCACAAAGAGAGUAAGUGGGAGAUGAACUGAUAAGAAUAUGGAAGUAUUGUUGAAUUGAUAGUCGUAGAAUGGAUUAUGUAUUGAAUUAAGAUGGAAGUAAUAAGCCUUGGUAUUUUAUAGUUUGAUAAUUAAUUUCAGAUGGCUAGAGUACAAUCAAUUGUGAUACUAACAGAUCCAAUUCAUAUAACCAGUCUUUCCCCAUGUUUGAAACUACCUCUAUUAGUUCAAUUGCUUUGGUAUAUUGAAGCUUGAACACAAUGAGAACAACAUUUUGGUACCGCUGUCAGGGAAAUGAUAACAAUAUGAAAUAUAAGAAAUUGGUUGUAUGGGAGAUGAACUGAUAAGAAUAUAAAAGUAUUAUUGAAUUGAUAGUCAUAGAAUGGAUUAUGUAUUGAAUUAAGAUGGAAGUAGUAAGCCUUGGUGUUUUGUAGUUUGAUAA
rnacentral:lncRNA from 1 species